rnacentral:rRNA from 1 species
CCUACGGGGGGCUGCAGUGAGGAAUAUUGGUCAAUGGCCGGGAGGCUGAACCAGCCAAGUCGCGUGAGGGAAGACGGCCCUACGGGUUGUAAACCUCUUUUGUCAGGGAGCAAGGUGCAGGUCGGGACCUGCUGUGAGAGUACCUGAAGAAACAGCAUCGGCUAACUCCGUGCCAGCAGCCGCGGUAAUACGGAGGAUGCGAGCGUUAUCCGGUUUUAUUGGGUUUAAAGGGUGCGCAGGCGGAGGCACAAGUCAGCGGUAAAAUCGCGGGGCUCAACCCCGCCCCGCCGUUGAAACUGUGUCUCUUGAGUGCGCGAAGGGUAGGCGGAAUGCGUGGUGUAGUGGUGAAAUGCAUAGAUAUCACGCAGAACCCCGAUUGCGAAGGCAGCAUACCGGCGCCCUACUGACGCUGAGGCACGAAAGUGCGGGUAUCGAACAGGAUUAGAUACCCUGGUAGUC